rnacentral:rRNA from 1 species
AUUGAACGCUGGCGGAAUGCCUUACACAUGCAAGUCGAACGGCAGCACGGGGCAACCUGGUGGCGAGUGGCGAACGGGUGAGUAAUACAUCGGCACGUGCCCAAUCGUGGGGGAUCACGUAGCGAAAGUUACGCUAAUACCGCAUACGAUCUACGGAUGAAAGCGGGGGAUCGCAAGACCUCGCGCGAAUGGAGCGGCCGAUGUCAGAUUAGGUAGUUGGUGGGGGAAAGGCUCACCAAUCCAACGAUCUGUAGCUGGUCUGAGAGGACGACCAGAGACACUGUGACUGAGACACGGCCCAGACUGAGAGGGGAGGCGCCAGUGGGGAAUUUUGGAAAAUGGACGAAAGCCUGAUCCAGCGAGUCCACGUAUAAGAUGAAGGCCUUCGGUGUGUAAACUGCUUUUGUACGGAACGAAACGGUUCUCUCUAAUACAGGGGGCUAAUGACGGUACCGUAAGAAUAAGCACCGGCUAACUACGUGCCAGCAGCCGCCGUAACAC